UACGUAGGGUGCGAGCGUUGUCCGGAAUUAUUGGGCGUAAAGAGCUCGUAGGCGGUGUGUCACGUCGGCCGUGAAAACCUGCAGCUUAACUGUGGGCGUGCGGUCGAUACGGGCAUCACUGGAGUUCGGCAGGGGAGACUGGAAUUCCUGGUGUAGCGGUGAAAUGCGCAGAUAUCAGGAGGAACACCGAUUGCGAAGGCAGCUCGCUGGGACGUAACUGACGCUGGAGACGCGAAAGCGUGGGGAGCAAACAGG
rnacentral:rRNA from 1 species